rnacentral:rRNA from 1 species
GGGGCUCAACUCCGGAUCUGCNGGUGGGUACCGGGCAGACUAGAGUGAUGUAGGGGAGACUGGANUUUCCUGGUGUAGCGGUGAAAUGCGCAGAUAUCAGGAGGAACACCGAUGGCGAAGGCAGGUCUCUGGGCAUUAACUGACGCUGAGGAGCGAAAGCAUGGGGAGCGAACAGGAUUAGAUACCCUGGUAGUCCAUGCCGUAAACGUUGGGCACUAGGUGUGGGGGACAUUCCACGUUUUCCGCGCCGUAGCUAACGCAUUAAGUGCCCCGCCUGGGGAGUACGGCCGCAAGGCUAAAACUCAAAGGAAUUGACGGGGGCCCGCACAAGCGGCGGAGCAUGCGGAUUAAUUCGAUGCAACGCGAAGAACCUUACCAAGGCUUGACAUGAACCGGUAAGACCUGGAAACAGGUCCCCCGCUUGCGGUCGGUUUACAGGUGGUGCAUGGUUGUCGUCAGCUCGUGUCGUGAGAUGUUGGGUUAAGUCCCGCAACGAGCGCAACCCUCGUUCUAUGUUGCCAGCACGUGAUGGUGGGGACUCAUAGGAGACUGCCGGGGUCAACUCGGAGGAAGGUGGGGACGACGUCAAAUCAUCAUGCCCCUUAUGUCUUGGGCUUCACGCAUGCUACAAUGGCCGGUACAAAGGGUUGCGAUACUGUGAGGUGGAGCUAAUCCCAAAAAGCCGGUCUCAGUUCGGAUUNGGGGUCUGCAACUCGACCCCAUGAAGUCGGAGUCGCUANGUAAAUCGCAGAUCAGCAACGCUGCGGUGAAUACGUUCCCGGGCCUUGUNCACACCGCCCGUCAAGUCACGAAAGUUGGUAACACCCGAAGCCGGUGGCCUAACCCCUU